GUAACCUAUACUUUUCCGACGGCUUCUUCCGCCGUAGCUCCGCCGUCAACUUCCAACAACCACCCUCUGAAAAAUCCCAUUUUUCUUAUUUUCAACUUCCCUCUUUUGUUCAAUUUAACUUUUUUUUACUUCACAUGUGCUUGCUCAGCAGAAUGUGUGACUUGGUCAAGAUUCAAGAUCUGAAGCAAAUUUAGGGAUCAACAACUGUUUUUCUGAUCUGGGUCUUCUCUGUUUCUCAGUUUGAUUCUAGUAUCUGUGCAUAAGAAUGUUCCAACUGUAAUUCGCUGUGAGAUUCCUAAAGAUU
rnacentral:misc_RNA from 1 species